rnacentral:rRNA from 1 species
UACGAGGGGGGCGAGCGUUGUUCGGAAUUAUUGGGCGUAAAGGGUGCGUAGGCGGUUUGGUAAGUCUCGUGUGAAAUCUUCGGGCUCAACUCGAAGUCUGCACAGGAAACUAUCUGGCUUGAGUGUGGGAGAGGUGAGUGGAAUUCCUGGUGUAGCGGUGAAAUGCGUAGAUAUCAGGAGGAACACCUGUGGCGAAAGCGGCUCACUGGACCACAACUGACGCUGAGGCGCGAAAGCUAGGGGAGCAAACAGG